rnacentral:rRNA from 1 species
ACACGUAGGGGCCUGACGUUGUUCGGAAUCAUUGGGCGUAAAGGGCGCGCAGGCGGCCGUCCAAGUCCGGUGUUAAAUGGUCGGGCUCAACCCGAUCAUGCGCUGGAAACUGGGCGGCUGGAGUCCCGGAGGGGAUGCCGGAAUUCCAGGUGUAGGGGUGAAAUCUGUAGAUAUCUGGAAGAACACCGAUGGCGAAGGCAGGCAUCUGGCCGGAGACUGACGCUGAGGCGCGAAAGUGUGGGGAGCAAACAGGAUUAGAUACCCUGGUAGUCCACACUGUAAACGAUGAAUGCUAGGUGUAGGGGGUAUCGACCCCUUCUGUGCCGCAGUUAACACAAUAAGCAUUCCGCCUGGGGAGUACGGCCGCAAGGUUGAAACUUAAAGGAAUUGACGGGG